AUACGUAGGUGGCGAGCGUUGUCCGGAAUUACUGGGUGUAAAGGGCGCGUAGGCGGGGAUGUAAGUCAGAUGUGAAAUACCAUGGCUCAACUGUGGGGCUGCAUCUGAAACUAUGUUUCUUGAGUGCUGGAGAGGAAAGCGGAAUUCCUAGUGUAGCGGUGAAAUGCGUAGAGAUUAGGAGGAACACCAGUGGCGAAGGCGGCUUUCUGGACAGUAACUGACGCUGAGGCGCGAAAGCGUGGGGAGCGAACAGGAUUAGAUACCCUGGUAGUCCACGCCGUAAACGAUGGAUACUAGGUGUAGGGGGUAUCGACCCCCCCUGUGCCGGAGUAAACACAAUAAGUAUCCCACCUGGGGAGUACGGCCGCAAGGUUGAA
rnacentral:rRNA from 1 species